AGUGUGAUAAAAAUGUGUCAUUACUGUCAACUUUAAUUUGUCAUUGGUCAUCCAUUCCCGCCACAUUUCCUUUAGAUUUAGGUACACAGACCCAGGUUGGGAGCAUAUCCCUAGACGACGAAGGAUCUCAUUGGAAGUAACUGAAAAAUUAACAGCUAACUAUGCUUUUCUGUAAUUUUCCAUUGAAUAUUUCAGUAUGGACUUGACGAUUUCUCUGGUGUGUAUUCUAAAUGGGAAAAAUUUUGUAAAAUUCAUUGCUCAACACCAAAUUAUCGCUCAUGUGAUCAUCAUUUAUGUGAAAUCAUUUUCUGGAAAGUUAUUUUACAAAUUGCAAUAGAAAACAUUGGAAAUAUAAAGCAUCUCAUCUAUUCCCACCUCUUAUCUGCCCUCAUCGUCUACUUCCAUUUAUGAAGAUCACAGUUAUGCCAAAGUUUAUGGUUGUAUACUAAAACAAGAACAUUCAUAUUAUAUAAAAAUACAGUUACAGUAGACACUGAUGUGAUUAUCGAGGAGCAUCAAGAUUGUAGUUCGAGUGCUCAUACCAUAACAUCUAGCAAUUUACCUAAAGAAGGGCCAUUGGAGUUUUCAAGUGAAUUUUCAGAUUCCAUUUUUACAGAGGAAAUUAGUAGUUUUGACACAGAAAAAUCGGGUUUUUUGGCUGUAGCUGAAACUAGCAAGAACAAUUUAACACCUAUGGAAAUGGUUAUGUAUAAAGUUUAUCGGAAUACAAUAGUCAAAAUUGAAAAAUAGUUUAAAGAAUAACAAAAAGUAGUUAAAGACAUUGAAGAAGAUGUAUGAAAUUUGGGAUAUUUGACUGUACAUAAGAAAGUUUAAAUAAUGCAAUGAAAGAAUUAUUUAUUAUAUAAAGAGGAGUUGGAAGCAAGUCAUUGCCUACUAUUUUACAUCACAUACAAUACAGACAUCUGCCUUGAAAAAAAAAAUGGUUUGAUCUGAUGUAAUCAUAUGGGACCAAAAUUUGUUUAUCAUAGAAUACUGAUUUAUUUUAGAAUUUUAUUGGUUUAAGUUUACAGAUAAAAUAUUUGUUUUCAAACUUUUAAUGUUUAUUUUUCUUUGAAAGGCUGUAUUAUGUGUAAUAAGUUUAUUUUCUUGUUUUGAUUUUGAGACAUAUUUAUGAAUUUUCCAGACUUUGUAUAGAAUAUUAUUUUCAUUAAAUCCCAAAAUAAGGGUACCAAAUCAUUGUAAUGAUAUUAUUUUACUGUUUUAUUUCUGGUUAAUAUUUAUUUACACUUCCCAAUUUGUUAGAGAAAUCUGUAUUUUGUUUUUAUUUUAAAAGUGAUAUUGUAAUCAUGUCUACUAAUUUUCCUUGGUCUAGAAGAAUAUAUGUAAAUAAACGUAACCCAGUUCUAA